CCUCCAAACAUACCUCAGGUUGGACCCUCCUGUUCCUGCCCCAGCAGCAGCCGUGGAGGAGGCUAAAACCACAGCAAGCAGAUCUGCAGAUUCCCAUCCCUGGAAUGAGACCCGACCCAGGGCCCCAUGUCUGGCUCUGCUCGCCCCACAGAACGUCACUGUUGCUUCAAUGAAGCUGAUCAGAUGAAAUAACUGGCUCACUUGGGAGAUAGCUGAGGCAGGUGUGGUGUAAAAUUUGAACCAGGCUCUAGCCCCUAUCAUGUGAAGUGUGGACGUUGACCCGAAUGCCCCAGACUGUGCCCUGCCAGGUCUGAGAACCUGAGGAUGGAGACGACGCGCUCAGGCAGCCAGACCUGCAUCUUUGAACAUAUUCAAUACCCGCCUGUAUCCCACCACCCUGUCGUCUCAGACCUUUUGCCUGUCACCUUGGGCCAACAGGAGUGAUGUGCAGCUUUGUCACCGAGGUAAGGUGCUCACGUGCGUUCUUUUGCGCGCGUGCAUGUGCCCGAGAGAGGAGAGAGGGACUGAGGGAGAGAGCGCCGGACAAAGGGAAGUACCCCACUGAGAUAUAUGUUUACCACAUACUGUAGGUCACAGUAACGUUGUACUUACCAUCCUGUCACUGCACAAUAUGGAAUGAAAACUUCUCGACCUGGAUGCUUCAAAAGAUACAUUAUACUCAAGACAAGGUUAAUAUGUAGAAACUGUAAAAGUAAAUGUUAAUUUGAAAAAUGUUAAAGUACCCGGAAAUAAGAGUAAGUGAUAUAUAAUUAAUGUUACUGGGUGGAAGGGGUUUGCCACCUAUUGCUGGGUUGAUUGAGUUUAAGUGAUGGAAAAUGGUAUAUAUAUGGUGUGUAUGUGGGAAAAAAUGAAGCAUGAAAAGACUGAUUUAAAAUUAUACAUUAGUUCUUUCAGCCUGUGAUUUGUGGAUUAAAAACUGAAUAUGAGAUUGGAAAGCCCUCAGGCAAAAGGAUACAGCAUGAAUCUUUUAUGAGGGAUUUGUCUCUGGAUUGUGAAAUAAAACUCUGCUUUAUCUCCCUAAAGUCCAAACAGAGCUUUCCUAAUGACCCAGACUAUACUACUGCACUGAGAGCUCUCUCUCCCAGUAGAGAGACAUAGGCAAAGUCUGGCUCCAUUAUCAUCUCUAACUGAUGUACAGUAGGAAUACAAACUUUAGACCCCAAACCUAAAACAUACCAGAGUCAAGUAUGUUUCUUUAUAAAUCACAUAACUGAAGAUUAAUAUCAAACUCAAGAAUUCUUCUU